rnacentral:rRNA from 1 species
AUUGAACGCUGGCGGCAGGCCUAACACAUGCAAGUCGAACGGUAACAGAAAGCAGCUUGCUGCUUUGCUGACGAGUGGCGGAUGGGUGAGUAAUGUCUGGGAAACUGCCUGAUGGAGGGGGAUAACUACUGGAAACGGUAGCUAAUACCGCAUAACGUCGCAAGACCAAAGAGGGGGACCUUCGGGCCUCUUGCCAUCGGAUGUGCCCAGAUGGGAUUAGCUAGUAGGUGGGGUAACGGCUCACCUAGGCGACGAUCCCUAGCUGGUCUGAGAGGAUGACCAGCCACACUGGAACUGAGACACGGUCCAGACUCCUACGGGAGGCAGCAGUGGGGAAUAUUGCACAAUGGGCGCAAGCCUGAUGCAGCCAUGCCGCGUGUAUGAAGAAGGCCUUCGGGUUGUAAAGUACUUUCAGCGGGGAGGAAGGGAGUAAAGUUAAUACCUUUGCUCAUUGACGUUACCCGCAGAAGAAGCACCGGCUAACUCCG